CACGUAGGGUGCGAGCGUUGUCCGGAAUUAUUGGGCGUAAAGAGCUCGUAGGCGGUGUGUCGCGUCGGCCGUGAAAACCUGCAGCUUAACUGUGGGCUUGCGGUCGAUACGGGCAUCACUGGAGUUCGGCAGGGGAGACUGGAAUUCCUGGUGUAGCGGUGAAAUGCGCAGAUAUCAGGAGGAACACCGGUGGCGAAGGCGGGUCUCUGGGCAGUAACUGACGUGAGGAGCGAAAGCGUGGGGAGCGAACAGG
rnacentral:rRNA from 1 species